AUGUGCCGAUGGCCAUCUGAUGCGUGUAGAUCCAUCCAACAGCACAAUAACGAAGGAAAGCGGUUAAAACAUUUGGUUCGAGCUGGUGGGUUUUGGACGGGGGAUCCUUCAAGGCGUGCAUGCAGAUGCAGCUGUGGGGUGGGGUGGGUGGUGCACGUAGGGAAAGCCGGGCACGACGGCGAGGCUGACGUUGCCAUCACGGGAGAGAGCGAGAGAAAAGAGGAGCAAAAGCGGACAGCAGGCAGCCCACGCCCACGCCACCCUGAUAAGACGAGAGGGACGGUGGAAGGAACAGUUGAGUCGCGUUGCGUUUGCGUUGCCCACCCCCCGCCGCAACUCUCUCAUCCGUCGCAUCCCCGCCCGCCCGCCCGCCCGCCUCCUACCGCCAUCCCAUCCAACUCCUCCUCCCCGCACACGCGCUUCGCGCCUCAAAUAGCACGGGCAAUGGCAGCGGCGCGGCCCUGUUGCAGCCGCAGCAGCCACCGGCAACCACGCCUCCUCGUCCUCGCCCUCACCGCCUUCGCGUCGCCGGCGCCGCUGCUGCUUUAG
rnacentral:rRNA from 1 species